UACUUUCUGGNUAUCCCGCAUUGCAUACUAAGUCCAUGCGAGUCAUUGUAGUAAUACAAGGCAGACGGCUCAGUAACGCGUAGUCAACCUAACCUAUGGACGGGAAUAACCUCGGGAAACUGAGUAUAAUGCCCGAUAGAACAUUAUGCCUGGAAUGGUUUAUGUUCCAAAUGAUUUAUCGCCGUAGGAUGGGACUGCGGCCUAUCAGUUUGUUGGUGAGGUAAUGGCCCACCAAGACUAUUACAGGUACGGGCUCUGAGAGGAGUAGCCCGGAGAUGGGUACUGAGACACGGACCCAGGCCCUAUGGGGCAGCAGNAGGCGAGAAAACUUUGCAAUGUGCUACAAGC
rnacentral:rRNA from 1 species